rnacentral:lncRNA from 1 species
UGUUAUUCUUAUAUGUUUCUUUAAAGAUAAUAAAAACAGUAAACUUACAAAACCAAACAUGGUGUGUUUUUUCUUUUUGUCAAUGAUAUAUAUAAAUUUGGACGCGUCGUGUAUGGUACCGUAUUCCACAACUCCAUCUAAAAAUGUUCCAUAGCUGUCAAUCAAAUAGUAUAUAGAUAAUUUCGUAUAGCUUUAAUUUUUUC